AAUGAGCAAGAAGUCAAUGACAAAUUAUAAUCUUUAAGGGCACACCAGUUACCUACUUCCUCCAGCCAUAGCAACCUGCCUACAGUUACCACUCAAUAAUCAAUUAAAAUCAUUAAUCCAUCAGAUGGAUUAGUCCUCUGAUCUGGUCACAACUCUCAUAAUCUAAUCAUUUCAACCCUGAACAUUCCUGUAUUGUUUAUCACAUGAGCUUAUUUAGAGACACCUCAUAUCAAACCAUAACAGCAAGAAUAGAUAUGUAUCUUCUCCACAAACAUAUUCAGAUGCUUAGCUGACAGAGUUUCAGGCAGCCAAAGCUCAUGACAUCCAAAAUUGACUUUGAACUGCAUAGUACUUAUGGGACAGGACAUGCAAAGGAGGAGGAAAGGAGUGGAAUGGGAUGGCUGCUUCUGUUCCAUCGGGUAACAUUCACACUCACAUGGCAACAAGUCCCAGAAACAGCUCUGGAAGACAUCAUCCUUAGCUCCUCAGACACUUCUUGGUGACAACUCUACUGCAUGGAAGAGAGCAUCACAGUAACGAGUAUUUCCAUGGUGAAGCCAUCUGGGCCUACAGUUUGCUUUGCAAGACUUGUUUUUCCUUGGUGAUAGAUUCAAUUUCUUUAAUAAGCAUAAAAAUCUCUCACCACCUGCAUGUACAGCUUAGGAAUCAGAAAUGGGAAAUUACAUACACAAUGUUUCACAAACUUUAUGAGGAUCUUAUUCAACACCUUUAUCCAUUAUUCUUGAGUUGGUGACUCUAAACUCCAAUUUUUGUCUUUCUUUCCCAGUGAGGCUGCCACAAGUGUGGGGUGCUGCUGAUUGGCUCGUAUGCCUCACAGUAGAAUUAGAAAAUUAUUUUAAGUAGAAAAAAAAAAUGUAUGGCAAACAGAGGACUCACCACAACAUGUUUUUCUUUUCUUGGAAACAUUUUAUUUAUGUUAUUAGUAGAAAUAUUAGUCCAAUGUAAACUACUCCUUUAUAGCUACAAGCAAUCCCUCAGGGGACUUUGAGCAGAGUAGAAUUAUAUGACUUGAGUUAUAGUUUAGAAUACCACUGUGAAUAUUGGGUAAAAAUAGGGAGCAAGGGUAUAAUUGAAAAGAAUUAGGAGGCUAUGGAAAUCGUCCAGAUAAGAAAAGAGCAUUACGAAGACAUUGGUAGCACUGUGUAUCCCCUAUGUUAGAGGUCAGCCUAGGGAUGAGAAAAUGAUGGUCAGUGACAAAUAUUGUUUAAAUCUCACCUUAUUGUGGCCUGAGUUUAACUUGUUUCUGUAUCUCACUGUAAGUCAAAAAUAGUGAAUAUCAGAUUGCUCUAUAGCCGAACUCUUAAAUAUGUGUAACCAUUUAAUUAAGUUUCCCUACUAUGCAUUUUCAUUUCCAUAUAUGAUUGUAUGAAUAUUUAAGGUAUUAAUGACAUAAAUGAUCAAAAUUGAAUAUCUACAAAUGGUUUGUUUUGCAUUCAGAAAUCCUUUUUCUUCUUGCUCUAGAAAAUGUGUAAUUGAUUUAUUUAUAUAGUACAAAACAAAUCAACUUUUCCUUUAUUUAAAUGGCAGUCCAUUUCUUAUUUGUAAGAUAAACAUGUAUGUUGAUAUAUAAUUUUUGUCAUUUAAGAAGGCAUCAAAAUAAUAUCAUUGAUUAAAUCAUAAUCAAUACCAUUGAUUAUUUGUUAUCUAGAAUUCAAAAACCAUAGGUAUAAAUCAGGUUUUCCUUCAAUAUUUAGCUUUCCAAAAGACAACAUGCAUAGAGAUUGCGCAUAUAUACCCUGAAAUAAAUUUGCUAUGGUUAUAAAAUUGUUAUGGUCUAGAUAUGAAGUAUCUAAAAAAUCUCAUGAGUGAGACAAUGAAAAAUGUUCAGACGUGAAAUGAUUAGAUUAUGAAAGCUUCAACCUAACCACUGGAUUAAUUCACUGAUAUGGAUUAACUGAGUGGUAACUGUAGGCAGGUAAGGUGUGGUUGGGAAAGCUGAGUCAUUGGGGCAUGACUUCAAGAUUUAUAUUUUGUUCCUGCUGAGCAGAGGUCUCUCUCUUCUUCCUGAUUGCCCAUAUUCUAAGCUGCUUUCCUCUGCCACACCCUUCUGCCAUGAUGGUCUGCCUCACUGUGAACCUAGAGCAAAGGAGUCAGCUGUUUAUAAACUAAGACCUUUGAAACCAUGAGCCAAAAUAAACUUUUUCUCCUUUUAAUUUUUCUUGGCAUGUCUUUUGGUUAUAGCAAUGCAAAAGCUGAUUAAAACAAAAGCUUAUGUAUACUUCAUACCAGUGGUAUUAACUUGGUCCUAUAUACCUAUUUUCUAAGUUAAUUGUGAAACUUAAGGAAGAUCAUCAUGAAAAAACCUGAUGGUUAGGGCCAUGCCUACUUUACCAUAAAUUAUUCUCUUUUUUAAAGUUAAUGCAAAAGAGCACUUUAUUUUUGGAGGCAAAAUUUAAGGGAUCUAUAUCUACAGUAUAUAUAAUAAUUAUUAUUAUCCUUUUAAAAUGUAAGCACUCUUUCUCCCUUCCAGCUAUCACAUUGUGGUUAAAUAGUAUAAGGUGAUAUGAAAAAAAUGCUAAGCAAGAGUUUCCUUAUGAAAACAACAGUAAUAGUAAUAAUAACAAUUAUAAAAGUUCAAAUGAAAAUAACUGGCUAACAAAAAAAGUGCUGAAUUUCACUUUUUUUCCUUGUUUCUGCAGUUUUCACAGAAGCAACAACUGUGAAAAUAGCUUUCAUUUUUCCUUUACAAAACUGAAAAUAUAAGUCAUUAAAUAUAAAUCUUAUAUUCUUGAAGUUAAAAUGUACUCUGUCAAGCCAUUGUAUGUUUCCUAAUCAGGCCCAACUGAAGUUGGAUUGUUUGUAUGCCAAAGUAAACUCCAAGUCCAUAAAUAAAUUUGAUUGAUUUGUUUUAACAUCAGCAAUGUGACAUCUCUAUCUUAGCUCAUGUGAUAGGACAUAGCCAUAGAUAUUGUUAGGACUAUUCCCUUAUGGGAUGCUUGCUGUGGUAUAUUGAAGAGAACUAUUAUUAAUUUGUACUCAGUACGUGGAGUUUAGUCAGCAAAAGUAAAACAGCUUUUGUUAAUAAGGAUAAAAUAUGUAUAAUGACUUGUUGAAACAAUUUGGUAAUAUUCAAGAGUGUUUCAUAAGUAGAAAAAAUUAUGUGAAGCAGGAUAUUUUGUUCUUUGUCUGCACACUUUCCAUGAUUUAUUUGCAAAUGCUUUUGAAUGGAUUUUAUGAGAAGUCAUAGUAGAAGAUGCAAAGAUAAUAGCCAUGGCUCCUAUUGUCACGAUAAAAGGCAGAAUGUGAUAAUAAGGAAAACAUAAAUAUGAAAUAUGUUACUUAAAGUAAAAGUUCACCACGGCCAGAGAGAUACAGCAAGUUUGCAAAAUUACAAUAUCAUUUGCUCUGCACUUAGCAGAUAGUUAAGUUACAUUUACACAUUUGAAGAUGGGGGAAAUAUUUUGAAGAAACAAAAAACAUAAAAUUAGAAAUAGAGAAGAGUUAUUAGUAAGAAAAAAAUAUAAAACAAAAUAGAUAUGAGUCUAGAGAAGUUUAGUUGGGUCCAAUAAUAAAAAGUUUUCUUAAUUUUUACUUCUGGGACAACUUGGGAUCAUUGCAAAUUUUUGAGCUACCAAGUUUUGUAUUAAAAUAUUAUUAUAUUUCAGCACAGCAUUAGAUUGAUUGAAAAGGGAAAAUAAUUGAGGUAGAAAGAUCAAUUACAAGCUCAUUAAAAUUGACUAGCUAAACUGAUUUUAGGGCCUGAACUUGAAGUUUAUCUAUCCAACUAAGAUAAACCAAUUUUUGGUUUCUAAUUAAGGAUCCUCCUAAAUUAUUGGCCCUAUAAAAGUUAAAUUCAAAUUUGCUUUGAAAUAUAUACUUGAAAAAAUACUUAGGCCAUGAUCUCCAAGUUCCAGUGGCUGGAUCACAAAGUUAGAGGAACAAAGGAGUGGAAGUUGCAUUGGUGCAGGAGGUUUUAGGUGUCAGCUGCAGGCAAGGUGGUCAUCUGUCCUGUGAGUAGCAGAGUCUGAGAGAGAGAGAGAGAAAUUUGUUUUUCGGAAAUCUAUUGGGGAAUGCCAAAUACAUUGGGGAGCUGGGUGGUCACAGAGACAACUUAACUGAGAAGCCAUUAUCACACCUCAACAAAUCCUAUGAGAAACUCUGGAGAGGAGAUUACUUUUCAGAAUUGUUCUGCACUGGGGCAAAAGAGCCAGCUUUUACACUACCAUCCUCAAGAUUCUGUAAGGAAUCUCCCGUGUGAGAUUCAUCAGAGAACAUGCAUCUGUCAGCAUUCCCAGCUACUAAGAGGAUGAAUGCUACCUCUAGAAGAGGUGAUAAGGCAAUUGGAGCAGCUAUGCACAAUGAAAUAAAGCUAGAAUAGAGUGUGUGUUGGGGGUAUCAUAUGUCACCUGAGUUCUCUAAUAAGAAGUCUCAGCACUAUUGGGUAAAUGAGAAAUAAUUUCCAUUGAAAGACUUACAUCAUCAUUUAGUCAUACAUUUAAUUAAUCAUUUCUCUAUUUUUCAAAUGUUUUCUUCAUUAUUCUAUCAUUAUAUUGUAAUAAAUAUAUUAUCAGGCAUAGUUUUAUAUUGGCAUAUUCCUUAGGAAUUUUUCUUUUGAUGUAUUUCAAUCUCUGUGCUUUAGAGAUACACAUAAAUGCCAAUUCUAUAAUAAUAGAAUCUAUCCAUGUUUGAAAAUCUUUUACUAGAUGAGUGCAUGGCUCCAUUCAUUCAAGUUCAUUCAUGUUCUUAAUCUAACAGGAAUUAAUUUGAUGCCUAGAUGCCUGAAAUGAAACCACUAUCGAUUUCUCAAGAGUUAAAAGAUUUAUGUUAACCUGUCCAUAUCCUAGUUACAGCUUUCUCCAGUAAUGUUAUCCAGUGAAUUAUAUAGCCUUACAAUAAACUCUUCCUUCUGAUCUUAUGAGACACUGAAAUGAUCUGGUUCAUGAUGUUCUUCAUUGGCCAGUGCAAUCUUGUGAGCUGAAUGAGCCAGGGGGGAAUAAGAGGCAGGAACCAUGCAUUUACUACUGCAGGAUCACCUCAUAACUUGUGGUAAGAAAUAACUAUGAAACUGUGCACAAUAACUGAUUAUUUUUGACCUAUCACUGUUAGAUCACUAUUUGUUCUUUACUGGCAACACAUGCAGACAAAAAUAUGGCAGCAUUGUAUGUGGUGACAGAUAGACCACAAAAGGCAAAGGGUCAAUCUUGUUAGAUGUUCCAACUGAUUUCCCUAGGACCCACAACAAAGGGGUGCCUUCAUUGUAAGUAUUCAAGAGAGAAAUAUGUCCAUAUAUGUAUCUAUGCUACUUCUACAUCUAUAUAUCUUUCUCUCUAUAGGGACAUGAUGGAUUUUUUAAUUAAGGGUCUGUCACACUCCAGUCACUUUUAGGUGUAUUAAUUAUUAUAACAACCCUUUGAAGCAAGAGUUAAUGCUGUCAGUUUUCAAUAUACCAUGUUACAUAGAAAUGGCAAAAUUAGGAAUGAAUCACAGAACACCACAGAGACUUCAGUAACAGGUUCUUAAUCCAGGUUACCAGGAAAAUCGCAUUUGGAGCUUAAAAGAAAUUAUAGGUACAAGAACACAUAUCUGGGAUUCUGAUUCCAUUAGUCUAGGAUAGGAUCUUACAGAUGCAUGCUUUUGGAGCUAGGAUAGGAGGAUGUGACACAAAGUUAACUUCCAGAUAUAUUGCUUAUUAUUAUUCUACCUUACUUCUCUUCAUCUUUAUUUCAAAAAGAGAAAGCAGCCAAGUUUCCCAGAUUGCUUAUCACUGAGAGUCCUGUCAGGUAUGUACACUUUUCCUGAAGGUUAUGUAUUCAGGAUGUCUUGUCCAAAAAGACUUUCUGCUCCUGUUUAUUUUGACAUCACAAGAAUCUGUUGUGCUGAUAAAUUUCUAAAAUAUUUUAUGAGUUAUUAAGUAUGCAAUACUAAUAUUACAGGUAAAUAGAAUUUAUUGGCAGGAUAGGAAAAUUGUUGCAUCAAUGGUGUAACUUAGUAAAAUACUUAAGUAAAAAUCUUGUGUAUUUAUUUUUAUAGGAUAUUUUUGCCAUUGCAAAUACUUUUUCCCAUCCUUUAGUUAUUCUACUGACAAAAUUUUACUUAUAUUGACACUAAUGACCAUUUACUUAAUUGAUCUGUAAUUUCUUAAUGAUUUAAAAUAGAAUUGGAGUUCUACAUGUUCCUAAAAAUGUAGAUGUCCAGCCUGGGUCAUCUACAUAAAGGAAAUAAGGAAUGAACUACUAAGUUAUAAGCACUAACCUAUUAAAUUAUCUUAAAUUGAGUAGCUGCUAUGUGUUAGAUAUUAUGCUAGAAUUUAUUUUCUUUUCUUUAUUUAGUCUUCAAAACAAAGUGGAGGUUGAAGAACCAACCUUGUCCUCCACCAUACAAAGGUGAGGUCAGCUAGAGAGUGAGGUCAGUUGCCCAAGAACAUAUUACACAAUAUAUAAAUUGGAGCCAAAGUGAAUGUAAGUCAGCCCUGCCUCAAAGCAUUUGCCUCUAGCUUCUUAUCUAAUGGCUACAAUUUUUAUGAUUAGUGUCAUAGGCAAACAUCACUUUCUUAUUAUUUCUAUAAAUAAAAUUUAUUUAACAGAUAGCAGAGUAGAAAAGCUGUGCAUUAUGAAACAGGACAUCUUAGGUUUAUGUUAUGUUUCUACUAAGAUCUGUCCCUGUUCUAGCUUUGUGCAGUUUCUUCAUCUAACUACAGGGAAAAAAAUACAGGACCUAUACCUUAGUUUGUUGAAAAAUGUAAUGCAAAAAUUUAUGUUAAAAACACUUAACAUAGUCUUUUUUUUCUUAUAGCAGGUGCUUCAUAAAUGCAGUUAUUGUUGUAAGAAUUUUAUUGGAUAAUAAGACCAUAUCAUUUCUGUUCACCUCUCUAUGUUAGUUUAAAAAACCAGGGUAAGUUGGAACUGAUAUUAUUACAUUUUAUAAGCCUUUAUAUGGCAACACAAAAUUAUAU
rnacentral:lncRNA from 1 species